rnacentral:rRNA from 1 species
AUUGAACGCUGGCGGCAUGCCUUACACAUGCAAGUCGAACGGUAACAGGUCUUCGGAUGCUGACGAGUGGCGAACGGGUGAGUAAUACAUCGGAACGUGCCUAGUAGUGGGGGAUAACUACUCGAAAGAGUGGCUAAUACCGCAUGAGAUCUACGGAUGAAAGCAGGGGAUCGCAAGACCUUGUGCUACCAGAGCGGCCGAUGGCAGAUUAGGUAGUUGGUGGGAUAAAAGCUUACCAAGCCGACGAUCUGUAGCUGGUCUGAGAGGACGAUCAGCCACACUGGGACUGAGAAACGGCCCAGACGCCUACGGGAGGCAGCAGUGGGGAAUUUUGGACAAUGGGCGAAAGCCGGAUCCAGCAAUGCCGCGUGCAGGAUGAAGGCCUUCGGGUUGUAAACUGCUUUUGUACGGAACGAAAAGCUCUGGGUUAAUACCCUGGGGUCAUGACGGUACCGUAAGAAUAAGCACCGGCUAACUACGUGCCAGCCGCCGCAGUAAAAC